rnacentral:rRNA from 1 species
AUGGUGCUGUGCGUGCGCCGCCCCAAGGCCGCAACUGCUUCCUCCAGUCGUCCCUCCUCCAUGGCUACAUCUUGGUCUCGCUUAGCUACCAGUACAGUGCAGAUUGCUUUCUUUAUUCAAUUGAUUUUGUUGUCUAUGUAUUACCUGAACUCCAAGGGAACCAACUUACAUGGCGUAAUGGAUGGAGGUGUUAUUGGGGCUUAUUUUUUCAUGAUUGGAAACAAGAUGUUGCUGGUGUUGGAGCUCACAGAGAAUGGUAUUAUGAUAGUCUACUUACUUCUGAAGUGA